rnacentral:rRNA from 1 species
GAAAGAUUCAUCGGAAGAGGAUGGGCAUGCGGCGCAUUAGCUUGACGGCGGGGUAACGGCCCACCGUGGCGACGAUGCGUAGGGGUUCUGAGAGGAAGGUCCCCCACACUGGUACUGAGACACGGACCAGACUCCUACGGGAGGCAGCAGUGAGGAAUAUUGGUCAAUGGGAGAGAUCCUGAACCAGCCAAGCCGCGUGAGGGAAGACGGCCCUAUGGGUUGUAAACCUCUUUUGUCGGAGAACAAAACCCGGGACGAGUCCCGGACUGCGUGUAUCCGAAGAAAAAGCAUCGGCUAACUCCGUGCCAGCAGCCGCGGUAAUACGGAGGAUGCGAGCGUUAUCCGGAUUUAUUGGGUUUAAAGGGUGCGUAGGCGGUCCGUUAAGUCAGCGGUAAAAUUGCGGGGCUCAACCCCGUCGAGCCGUUGAAACUGGCAGACUUGAGUUGGCGAGAAGUACGCGGAAUGCGCGGUGUAGCGGUGAAAUGCAUAGAUAUCGCGCAGAACUCCGAUUGCGAAGGCAGCGUACCGGCGCCAGACUGACGCUGAGGCACGAAAGCGUGG